UGUUACUUCUAUCAAAUGGAACUAAAAGGCCAAGGCAAAGAGAAACUAUAGAAGGCAGUGGUAACUGGUAGCAGAAGAGAAUGGAAACUCUGGAUUUAUAUUAGACCUGGCUGCUAGUCCUUCUUACUGGUCCUGUGACCCUGGGGAUGUGACCAAGUCUCAGUUUUCCUCAUCUGUGAGAUUCCAGAGACACUCCUUAAAGUAGAAGCAGCAUGUUGUUCAAGAGGCUAAAAUCGAGGAUGGCCACCAAUGUGAAAAAAUAAUUACAGGUCAUGGAUGUGAACCGUCCAAGGACCACAGUGGCAACCUUGUCAUCCCAGUGAUUUGAAAAGAAACUUCAUGAGCAUCGUGAAGAAGGCGGCAAAGAAAAGGUGCCUAGGUAGUCAGAAUACAUGUUAAUUUGGCCACAAACGUUUGUUCCAAGAGAACAAGCAAAAAAUGAGUGUUUGCACUGGGCCACGUAGAUUUGAAGCAUGAAUACGAGCUUGUGUCCCAUUUCGCCAAGCAGAAGCAAGGCACACCCAUCGGGAACCCGGGUUUGCUCUGCCACCAGCCGGCCCCCAAUCCGGGGAGAAGCAGCCGCCAGGUGGCAGCGCUGAGCCUCUCUGCGCCCACGAGCAGACGUGGGAAAACGUGGGGACGGUCGGACUUCUUUCUUCUCCCCCUUCCUCCUCUCCCGAACCCCUAUCAUCCUCCACUACUCUACCUUCUUUAAACGAUCAGCGGUUAAUAGGGUGUGUCGGUGAAUUCUGAUCUUUUUAAAAUCAUAAAUCAGAGUUUAGGGCAAUGAACCGCCGCCUCCUGUUCACUUGUCAGAAGCUCCCAGAGACUGGGGACGCGAAGGCUGGCUCCCGUUUGGAUCUAGUAACUGAACCGGGAGAUUACCAAUUACCGUGUCAGUAUCUUGCCGAAGCCGGAACGAGUUAGAAGGCUCUCUCCGAGGCGCGCCUUACUUAAGGACUAGGAAAGGCCGCCUCUCUUCCUCAAAAGAUGGUUUCCCCCGGCCCGACGCCUCGCCGAGCGCCGCGACUCGGUGGCGCAGGCACCGCGCUCUUCCUGCCCUGAGCUCGGCGAGGAUUCGGCGGGGAUUAGCGGUGCUCAGUGUCGCUCCGCCGCGGCGGCUGAGCCUCGCCUGUCGAUUACAGUUACAGGGAGGAAAUAAAUUGGAAUCGACUCCGGCUGUGCUUUUUGGAGCAAAGUCUUUCCUACUGUAAACAUGUUUCAGGCGAUCCUGUCAGCAGCACUUUAACACCCGUCUUCCGUUAAGGGUUUACGACCGGGGAAGAAGCCGAAGAGACACACACACACAACACACACGCCCCCUAGCCCUCGCCAGCUCCUAGCACUCCUUUGAAGUUGCAAUUGGCCGCGCUAG